rnacentral:sRNA from 1 species
CCAACAGGUUCUAUUUUAGGUAUGGUAUGAUAUAAUCAUAAUUUAUCUCACCUAUAUAGUUCACAAAAUAGUAGCAUCUUGACAGUUUAAUAAAGGCUUUUGAAAUAUUGGUAUAAAGUGAACGACAGAACUUUAAUUUGCUCAGAUCUAAAGAAAUUGAAUUGGUUUCUGCUUGUGAUUAUGAAUCAAUAGGUUAUAUUAAUGGAUCUUAGGGAGAAAAUUAGAGCUCACUUUAAAUAUAAACUUAUAAUAGUAAUAAUUGCCUGUUGUUUAUUUUUCCACAGUUCUUAGUGGUCUGUGUUCUAAUGACUGUCCUCGUAAGAUAACACCCUUUGGAGUGAAUCAACCUGGACCUUAUAUCAUGUAUACAACUGUAGAUGCAAAUGGGUAUCUGAAAAAUGGAUCAGCUGGCCAACUCAGCCAAUCCGCACAUUUAGCUCUCCAACUACCAUACAACGUGCUUGGUUUAGGUCGGAGCGCAAAUUUUCUUGACCAUCUCUAUGUUGGUAUUCCCCGUCCAUCUGGAGAAAAAUCUAUACGAAAACAAGAGUGGACUGCAAUCAUUCCAAAUUCCCAGCUAAUUGUCAUUCCAUACCCUCACAAUGUCCCUCGAAGUUGGAGUGCCAAACUGUAUCUUACACCAAGUAAUAUUGUUCUGCUUACUGCUAUAGCUCUCAUCGGUGUCUGUGUUUUCAUCUUGGCAAUAAUUGGCAUUUUACAUUGGCAGGAAAAGAAAGCAGAUGAUAGAGAAAAACGACAAGAAGCCCACCGGUUUCAUUUUGAUGCUAUGUGACUUGCCUUUAAUAUUACAUAAUGGAAUGGCUGUUCACUUGAUUAGUUGAAACACAAAUUCUGGCUUGAAAAAAUAGGGGAGAUUAAAUACUAUUUAUAAAUGAUGUAUCCCAUGGUAAUUAUUGGAAAGUAUUC